rnacentral:rRNA from 1 species
GUCAGUAUCAAGCCAGGGCGUCGCCUUCGCCACUGAUGUUCCUUCCUAUAUCUACGCAUUUCACCGCUACACAGGAAAUUCCACACCCCUCUCUUGUACUCUAGUCUGCCAGUUUGGGAUGCAAUUCCUAGGUUGAGCCCAGGGCUUUCACAUUCCACUUAACAAACCACCUACGCGCGCUUUACGCCCAGUAAUUCCGAUUAACGCUUGCACCCUCCGUAUUACCGCGGCUGCUGGCACGGAGUUAGCCGGUGCUUCUUCUUACAGUACCGUCAAGGUGGUAUACAUACCACUGUUUCUUCCUGUAUAAAAGUAGUUUACAACCCAUAGGGCAUUCUUCCUACACGCGGCAUGGCUGGGUCAGAGUUGCCUCCAUUGCCCAAUAUUCCUCACUGCUGCCUCCCGUAGGAGUCUGGUCCGUGUCUCAGUACCAGUGUGGGGGAUCUCCCUCUCAGGACCCCUACCUAUCGAUGUCAUGGUAAGCCGUUACCUUACCAUCUAACUAAUAGGACGCAUAGCCAUCUUUUACCGAUAAAUCUUUAAUUAAGUCUCGAUGCCGAGACUCAAUACCAUAAGGUAUUAAUCUUCAUUUCUAAAGGCUAUCCCUCUGUAAAAGGUAGGUUCUAUACGCGUUACGCACCCGUGCGCCGGUCGUCAUCUGUGCAAGCACAAUGUUACCCCUCGACUUGCAUGUGUUAAGCCUGCCGCUAGCGUUCAUCCUGAGCCAGGAUCAAACUCU